rnacentral:rRNA from 1 species
GACGAACGCUGGCGGCGUGCCUAAUACAUGCAAGUCGAACGCAUUUUCUUUCACCGUAGCUUGCUACACCGAAAGAAAAUGAGUGGCGAACGGGUGAGUAACACGUGGGUAACCUGCCCAUCAGCGGGGGAUAACACUUGGAAACAGGUGCUAAUACCGCAUAAUUCCAUUUACCGCAUGGUAGAUGGGUGAAAGGCGCUUUUGCGUCACUGAUGGAUGGACCUGCGGUGCAUUAGCUAGUUGGUGGGGUAACGGCCUACCAAGGCUGCGAUGCAUAGCCGACCUGAGAGGGUGAUCGGCCACACUGGGACUGAGGCACGGCCCAGACUCCUACGGGAGGCAGCAGUAGGGAAUCUUCGGCAAUGGACGCAAGUCUGACCGAGCAACGCCGCGUGAGUGAAGAAGGUUUUCGGAUCGUAAAACUCUGUUGUUAGAGAAGAACAAGGAUGAGAGUGGAAAGUUCAUCCCUUGACGGUAUCUAACCAGAAAGCCACGGCUAACUACGUG